ACAGGUGCUGCAUGGCUGUCGUCAGCUCGUGUCGUGAGAUGCUGGGUUAAGUCCCGCAACGAGCGCAACCCUUGUCAUUAGUUGCUACAUUCAGUUGGGCACUCUAAUGAGACUGCCGGUGACAAGCCGGAGGAAGUGGGGAUGACGUCAAGUCCUCAUGGCCCUUAUGACCUGGGCUACACACGUGCUACAAUGGGCGGUACAAAGGGCUGCGAACCCGCGAGGGGGAGCGAAUCCCAAAAAGCCGCUCUCAGUUCGGAUUGCAGGCUGCAACUCGCCUGCAUGAAGCCGGAAUCGCUAGUAAUCGCGGAUCAGCAUGCCGCGGUGAAUACGUUCCCGGGCCUU
rnacentral:rRNA from 1 species